rnacentral:rRNA from 1 species
UCUGAUGUUAGCGGCGGACGGGGGUGAGUAAACACGUGGGGUAAACCUACCCUAUAAAGACUGGGAUUAAACUCCGGGAAACCGGGGCUAAUACCCGGAUAAUAUUUUGAACCGCAUGGUUCAAUAGUGAAAGACGGUUUCGGCUGUCACUUAUAGAUGGACCCGCGCCGUAUUAGCUAGUUGGUAAGGUAACGGCUUACCAAGGCGACGAUACGUAGCCGACCUGAGAGGGUGAUCGGCCACACUGGAACUGAGACACGGUCCAGACUCCUACGGGAGGCAGCAGUAGGGAAUCUUCCGCAAUGGGCGAAAGCCUGACGGAGCAACGCCGCGUGAGUGAUGAAGGUCUUCGGAUCGUAAAACUCUGUUGUUAGGGAAGAACAAAUUUGUUAGUAACUGAACAAGUCUUGACGGUACCUAACCAGAAAGCCACGGCUAACUACGUGC